ACAAGAAUGGAGAGUGAAAGCACCAGGUACAGCAGUCCAAAACAACCAGAUGCCUCACAUCCAGUGUCAAGAGGUAAUUAAGGAGCCAAGCAUUACAGCUACAGCUAAUAUUGGGAACAGACAGAAGCAGGUUGUUCAAGACUCUCCAGUCUUCAAUAUUGCUAAUUUUCCUCCUUUAUCUCCUCUUGUGAUGUCUAACAGAUUUGAAGUAGGGACAGUU
rnacentral:lncRNA from 1 species